GGUAUUCCGAGGGGCAUGCCUGUCUGAGCGUCAGUGAACUUCACAAGGAUUUGUUUGUAUUUGCUUGCAUCUCAAACGAGUUCUAGUGAUUGAGUGUGACUUGUCUCACUUGAAAUGCAUCACGAUUGGUGUCAUAGGUCCGCCUCACCAAGAAUUUACGUCUUGACCUCAGAUCAGGUAGGGUUACCCGCUGAACUUAA
rnacentral:misc_RNA from 1 species